rnacentral:tRNA from 1 species
AAAGGGAGACCUAAUUCGGGUAUAAGACGAAAAAAUAGUAGUCGAAACCAAGAAUCAAUCCCAAAAGGUCGGAACGAGGUAUGUGGCUCUCAAACUAGGUUCUGGGUUCAUAAAAGACCUGAAUCAGGAACAAGGGCUAUUAGCUCAGGUGGUUAGAGCGCACCCCUGAUAAGGGUGAGGUCCCUGGUUCGAGUCCAGGAUGGCCCACCUGCACAGGUGGCAAAAACAAAGAAAAGAAGCUCCGAAUCAGCACCUUAUCUUACUCAUAUAGUAAGAGAGAAUGCUGGCUCUGAGUUCAGUGUCCAGAGGAACCUUGAAAACUGCAUAGAGCUAGGUGAAAAAGCCAAAAAAGAAGACCGCAAG